rnacentral:tRNA from 1 species
UCCCUGCUGGCUCAGUCAGUAAAGGAUUUGCCUGCAAUGCAGGAGAUACAGGUUCAAUCCCUGGACAGGGAA